GAGAAGUUAAUUUCCGAGAAAUCAAAUGAUUGAGUAACGCCAUGAAGGGUUUCCCCGAAUACUCCGAUAUGCAACUAUAUUCAUAAAAAUAUAAUUGUGUAAAGCUCGGUGAAGUCGGCUGAAAGAUACCGUAAUAUAAACAAUAGUUUAUAACGAAACCGCCUUAGAGGUAAGGUGUGUAUCCCAUAGGUCGGGGGUCAUAAAA
rnacentral:ncRNA from 1 species